UGGUGGCGAGUGGCGAACGGGUGAGUAAUACAUCGGAACGUGUCCUGUAGUGGGGGAUAGCCCGGCGAAAGCCGGAUUAAUACCGCAUACGACCUACGGGUGAAAGCGGGGGACCGCAAGGCCUCGCGCUACAGGAGCGGCCGAUGUCAGAUUAGCUAGUUGGUGGGGUAAAGGCCUACCAAGGCGACGAUCUGUAGCUGGUCUGAGAGGACGACCAGCCACACUGGGACUGAGACACGGCCCAGACUCCUACGGGAGGCAGCAGUGGGGAAUUUUGGACAAUGGGGGCAACCCUGAUCCAGCCAUGCCGCGUGCGGGAAGAAGGCCUUCGGGUUGUAAACCGCUUUUGUCGGGGAAGAAACGGUCUGCGCUAAUACCGCAGGCUUAUGACGGUACCCGAAGAAUAAGCACCGGCUAACUACGUGCCAGCAGCCGCGGUAAUACGUAGGGUGCAAGCGUUAAUCGGAAUUACUGGGCGUAAAGCGUGCGCAGGCGGCUUUGCAAGACAGAUGUGAAAUCCCCGGGCUCAACCUGGGAACUGCAUUCGUGACUGCAUGGCUGGAGUGCGGCAGAGGGGGAUGGAAUUCCGCGUGUAGCAGUGAAAUGCGUAGAUAUGCGGAGGAACACCGAUGGCGAAGGCAAUCCCCUGGGCCUGCACUGACGCUCAUGCACGAAAGCGUGGGGAGCAAACAGGAUUAGAUACCCUGGUAGUCCACGCCCUAAACAAUGUCAACUGGUUGUUGGACGGCUUGCUGUUCAGUAACGAAGCUAACGCGUGAAGUUGACCGCCUGGGGAGUACGGCCGCAAGGUCGAAACUCAAGGGAAUUGACGGGGACCCGCACAAGCGGUGGAUGAUGUGGUUUAAUUCGAUGCAACGCGAAAAACCUUACCUACCCUUGACAUGCCAGGAACUUACCAGAGAUGGUUAGGCGCUCGAAAGAGAGCCUGGACACAGGUGCUGCAUGGCCGUCGUCAGCUCGUGUCGUGAGAUGUUGGGUUAAGUCCCGCAACGAGCGCAACCCUUAUCAUUAGUUGCUACGCAAGGGCACUCUAAUGAGACUGCCGGUGACAAACCGGAGGAAGGUGGGGAUGACGUCAGGUCAUCAUGGCCCUUAUGGGUAGGGCUACACACGUCAUACAAUGGCCGGUACAGAGGGCUGCCAACCCGCGAGGGGGAGCUAAUCUCAGAAAACCGGUCGUAGUCCGGAUCGCAGUCUGCAACUCGACUGCGUGAAGUCGGAAUCGCUAGUAAUCGCGGAUCAGCUUGCCGCGGUGAAUACGUUCCCGGGUCUUGUACACACCGCCCGUCACACCAUGGGAGCGGGUUCUGCCAGAAGUAGUUAGCCUAACCGCAAGGGGGGCGAUUACCACGGCAGGGUUCGUGACUGGGGUGAAGUCGUAACAAGGUA
rnacentral:rRNA from 1 species